rnacentral:sRNA from 1 species
GCUGGGCGUGGUGGUGCACACCUGUAAUCCCAGUGGCUCAGGAGGCUGAGACAGGAGGAUGGUGAGUUCAAAGCCAGCCUAAGAAACUUAGUGAGGCCCUAAGCAAAUCAGUGAGACCCUGUCUCUA